rnacentral:rRNA from 1 species
UACGGAGGGUGCAAGCGUUUAUCCGGAUUCACUGGGUUUAAAGGGUGCGUAGGUGGGUUGGUAAGUCCGUGGUGAAAUCUCCGAGCUUAACUCGGAAGCUGCCGUGGAUACUAUCAAUCUUGAAUACUGUGGAGGUAAGCGGAAUAUGUCAUGUAGCGGUGAAAUGCUUAGAUAUGACAUAGAACACCGAUAGCGGAGGCAGCUUGCUACACAGUCAUUGACACUGAGGCACGAAAAGCGUGGGGGAUCAAACAAGGAUUAGAUACCCC